rnacentral:rRNA from 1 species
CCGUCUGAUCUGUUAGAGAUAGCAGCGGCCUUCGGGACAGAGGAGACAGGUGGUGCAUGGUUGUCGUCAGCUCGUGUCGUGAGAUGUUGGGUUAAGUCCCGCAACGAGCGCAACCCUUGACUUUAGUUGCCAGCAGGUAAGGCUGGGCACUCUAGAGUGACUGCCGGUGACAAACCGGAGGAAGGUGGGGAUGACGUCAAAUCAUCAUGCCCCUUAUGACCUGGGCUACACACGUACUACAAUGGCCGGUACAACGGGAAGCGAAGGAGCGAUCUGGAGCCAAUCCCAGCAAAGCCGGUCUCAGUUCGGAUUGCAGGCUGCAACUCGCCUGCAUGAAGUCGGAAUUGCUAGUAAUCGCGGAUCAGCAUGCCGCGGUGAAUACGUUCCCGGGUCUUGUACACACCGCCCGUCACACCACGAGAGUUUACAACACCCGAAGUCGGUGGGGUAACCCGCAAGGGAGCCAGCCGCCGAAGGUGGGGUAGAUGAUUGGGGUGAAGUCGUAACAGGGGUAAGCCGUA